UACGGAAUGUGCAAACGUUAUUCGGAAUCACUGGGCUUAAAGAGUCCGUAGGCGGCAUGUUAGGUGAGGUGUGAAAUCCCCCGGCUUAACCGAGGAAUUGCGCUUCAAACCGGCGUGCUUGAGGAAGAUAGAGGUGGGCGGAACUGAUGGUGGAGCGGUGAAAUGCGUUGAUAUCAUCAGGAAUACCGGAGGCGAAGGCGGCUCACUGGGGGUUAUCUGACGCUGAGACACGAAAGCCAGGGGAGCGAACGGG
rnacentral:rRNA from 1 species